GUGUGACAAUGCAGGGAAAGAAAACCGUCAGGAGCAACGCUACUUACUUUGCUAUUAUGUUCGCGCAAUCUAUCAUUUAUGCAUCUGCCGGUCUGUCCGAUGUAGGACUUUCCACAAGUAAGUGGAAUCCGGUAGACGACACACGUGCUGCAUUCAACAAACUUGUUUCGAUGCUUCUUUUCGCAUACCGCAUCUAUUAUCUUGUCUGGUCUUGUGUUUCUGCACAGGCUCACCAAUUUAUUAGGGGCUGAAAAAACUACCUUUGUGUCACAUUUUUCCGCAAUCUUCUUUAUUCUGUGAGAGAACUUAUGUAUGUACGGAAUGACAGCAAAACUUUCCUUUAUUGA
rnacentral:lncRNA from 1 species